GCGUGUCAGCGUUCUGGUGCG
rnacentral:misc_RNA from 1 species